rnacentral:rRNA from 1 species
CGUAGGGUGCGAGCGUUAAUCGGAAUUACUGGGCGUAAAGCGUGCGCAGGCGGUUCGCCGUGUCCUGUGUGAAAGCCCCCGGGCUCAACCUGGGAAUGGCAUGGGAAACUGGCGGGCUGGAGUGUGGCAGAGGGGGGUGGAAUUCCGCGUGUAGCAGUGAAAUGCGUAGAGAUGCGGAGGAACACCGAUGGCGAAGGCAGCCCCCUGGGCCAACACUGACGCUCAGGCACGAAAGCGUGGGGAGCAAACAGGAUUAGAUACCCUGGUAGUCCACGCCCUAAACGAUGUCGACUAGGUGUUGGGGGAGCGAUUCCUUGGUACCGUAGCUAACGCGUGAAGUCGACCGCCUGGGGAGUACGGCCGCAAGGUUA